AUAAUAAUUUAUUUUAUUAUUAAAUUUUAUUAAAUUAAAAAAAUAUAUGAAAUUUAAAAAUUGAUUCUAAAUUCUUAAAGAAAAUUAAUUAAUUCUCAGUAUUAAAUAUUAAAAAUUAAAGAAAUUUAGAUUUAAUUAUUAAUUUUAGUAUAAACUAAUUAUGUGCCAGCAGUUGCGGUUAAACAUAAUAUACAAAUAAAAUUAUUUAGUUAUUAGUAAAAAGUUUAAAUUAUAUAAUAAUUUUUAUUUUAAGGUAAAAUUUAAUUUAAAAUUAAAAAUAUAAUUAUUUUAUUCUAUUAAAUUUUAUUUAAAACUAGGAUUAGAUACCCUAUUAUAAAAAUAUAAAAUAAUUACUAAAAAAUUAAUAGUUAUGUUCUUUAAAUUUAAAAAAUUUGGCGGUAUUUUAUUCUUAUUAGAGGAACCUGUUUUUUAAUUGAUAAUCCACGAUUAAUUUUACUUAUUUUUAAAAUUCAUAUAUCGCUGUCAAUAAAUAUAUUAAUAAAUUUAUUUUUUAUAAUUAAUUUUAUAAUUUAUGUUAAGUCAAGAUAUGGUUAAUAGAUAAGAAAAUAAUGGGUUACAUUAAAUUUUAUUUUUGGAUAAAAAAUGAAAAAUUUAUUGAAAUUGGAUUUAAAAGUAAUUUAAAUUAUUUAAUUUAUUUGAAUAUAGAUCUAAAAUAUGUACAUAUUGCCCGUCAUUCUUAUUAAAAAUAAGACAAGUCGUAACAAAGUAAGUGUACUGGAAAGUGUAUUUAGAAAGAU
rnacentral:ncRNA from 1 species